CCUACGGGAGGCAGCAGUGAGGAAUAUUGGACAAUGGCCGCAGGGCUGAACCAGCCAAGUCGCGUGAGGGAUGAAGGUCCUAUGGAUUGUAAACCUCUUUUGUCAGGGAGCAAAGGGCGCCACGUGUGGCGCUUUGCGAGUACCUGAAGAAAAAGCAUCGGCUAACUCCGUGCCAGCAGCCGCGGUAAUACGGAGGAUGCGAGCGUUAUCCGGAUGUAUGGGGUUUAGAGGGUGCGCAGGCGGAAUGUCAAGUUAGCGGUAAAAUUUCGGGGCUCAACCCCGUCGUGCCGUUGAAAAUGGCGUUCUUGAGUGAUCGAGAAGUAGGCGGAAUGCGUGGUGUAGCGGUGAAAUGCAUAGAUAUCACGCAGAACUUCGAUGGCGAAGGCAGCAUACCGGCGCUCAACUGACGCUCAUGCACGAAAGCGUGGGUAUCGAACAGGAUUAGAUACCCCUGUAGUC
rnacentral:rRNA from 1 species